UAUUAUGAAGCUUUUACUGAAGCGGUCAGUUUCGACCUGACCAAAGCAACUAAGUUGCCUUAAUUA
rnacentral:tRNA from 1 species